GGAGGGGUGCGAGAGCGGCCGAAUCGGCACGCUUGGAAAGCGUGUGUGGGGAAACUCACCGUGGGUUCGAAUCCCACUCCCUCCGCCA
rnacentral:tRNA from 5 species